AGCGAACGCUGGCGGCGUGUUUAAGACAUGCAAGUCGCACGGGAUAAGACAUGUAGUAAUACUUGUUUUAUUUAGUGGCGCACGGGUGAGUAACACGUGAAUUACAUGCCCUAUAGUGGGGAAUAGCCCAGGGAAACUCGGAUUAAUACCCAAUGGUAUCGAAAGAUUAAAGGUGGCCGCAAGGCUGUCGCUAUAGGAUUGGUCCGCGCCCUAUCAGCUUGUUGGUGAGGUAACGGCUCACCAAGGCAAUGACGGGUACAUGGUCUGAGAGGACGAUCAGGCACACUGGAACUGAGACAAGGUCCAGACACCUACGGGUGGCAGCAGUCGAGAAUAAUUCACAAUGGGGGCAACCCUGAUGGUGCAACGCCGCGUGGAGGAUGACGGUCUUCGGAUUGUAAACUCCUGUCAUCUGGGAGAAAGACCUGACGGUAAAUAGCCGGCAGGGUUGAUAGUACCAGAAGAGGAAGGGACGGCUAACUUCGUGCCAGCCGCCGCCGUAA
rnacentral:rRNA from 1 species